GAUAUUUUUCUUUCACCGAUUUUGGUUAUUCUUGUUUUCAGUAAUAUUCUUAUCGUUGUUCUUUGUUGUGCACAAGCAUAGAUUCUCUGUUAGUUACAAUUAAGAUAUGGAUGAAUGUGCUCUGCAUGCCUCUGCUACUCUGCUUUGAUUCUCUGCUAAUAAAAAGAUAUCUUGCUUUUUGCCAUUGUCUUUUAGCCUCUUACUUUUCAAGGAUGCCCUUUCACCAAUUUUGAUUUUCUAGGUGGUUUUUUGCACAUUGUGUAGCUAGCUGGUGUACACUCUAUCACUCUUGCCUACUCAUGCAUAUUCAUCUCUUUUAUUCCAUUUUUUUCACUAUAAAAGACCCUUCUCUUGAUCCUUCUUUAAUCAUCCCCAUUACAUUUCUACUCUCUUCUUACUCUUCGCCUUUGCUCCCUCUUUUCCCACUUUUUCCCAAGGACAGAAUAUGAGCUAUUCACAUCAUACUAUGAGUUCUGGUAGUAGAGCUGCAAGGACAUUUGAGUUUGGAAGGACUUAUGUGGUGAGGCCCAAAGGGAAACACCAGGCUACUAUAGUUUGGUUACAUGGCCUUGGGGAUAAUGGUUGCAGCUGGUCCCAGCUGUUGGAAGGCCUUCCUCUGCCAAAUAUUAAAUGGAUUUGCCCAACUGCUCCUACUCGUCCUGUGGCUGUACUUGGGGGAUUUGCUUGCACUGCAUGGUUUGAUGUUGGAGAGCUUUCAGAAAACAGUCCAGAUGAUUGGGAGGGGUUAGAUGCUUCGGCAGCGCAUAUUGCAAACCUGUUGUCAACAGAGCCAGCUGAUGUUAAAGUUGGCAUUGGAGGCUUCAGUAUGGGUGCUGCAAUGGCCCUUUACUCUGCAACUUGUUGUGCUCUAGGAAGGUUUGGAAAUGGAAUUCCAUACAAUGUCAAUUUAAGGGCAGUUGUGGGACUCAGUGGCUGGCUUCCAGGUUCAAGAAUCUUAAGGAACAAAAUAGAAGGAUCGCUUGAGGCUGCAAGACGAGCCGCAUGCAUGCCUGUUAUGCUCGGUCAUGGAACUUGUAUGCAUAUCUAUCUUCUGAUGAUGUAGUCCCCUUUGCAUAUGGAGAGAAAUCAGCCCACUCCCUCAGUACAGCCGGAUUUCAACACCUUACAUUCAAAUCCUUUGAAGGGCUUGGCCAUUACACAGUUCCUAAAGAGAUGGAUGAGGUCUGCCAUUGGCUUACUGCAAGAUUGGGACUGGAGGGCUCUGGUGCAUAGUUUUAGCACAGCAUCAGUUUCUUGUUAAAUGUGACACAAGGAAACAAUAACAUGGGAGAAAAAUGAUAAACAAGUAGAUAGUAAAUAGAAAUGGUAUAGCUAGAUUAAGCUUGUUAAUUUUCCCAUUUUCUUGUCUGUCCUAACAAUAAAAAUUUUGUAUGCAUUUUUCUUAUAUUUCACUUGUAGACUGUUGAUGAUAAUGAAUCCUUGUCAGUUCUACUUUUGAAGCAUUUUUGUGCAUUCACUAAUGCAAUGAUAAAUCUAGUGAACUUGGCUAUUA